rnacentral:rRNA from 1 species
AUACGGAGGGCGCAAGCGUUAUCCGGAAUCAUUGGGUUUAAAGGGUCCGUAGGCGGGCAAUUAAGUCAGAGGUGAAAUCCCACAGCUCAACUGUGGAACUGCCUUUGAUACUGGUUGUCUUGAGUUAUAGUGAAGUGGAUAGAAUGUGUAGUGUAGCGGUGAAAUGCAUAGAUAUUACACAGAAUACCGAUUGCGAAGGCAGUCCACUAACUGUUGACUGACGCUAAUGGACGAAAGCGUGGGGAGCGAACAGGAUUAGAAACCCGAGUAGUCC